GACGAACCUCUGGUGUUCGGGUUGUCAUGCCAAUGGCAUUGCCCGGUAGCUAAGUUCGGAAUCGAUAACCGCURAAAGCAUCUAAGCGGGAAGCGAGCCUUGAGAUGAGUUUUCCCUGGCACUAUAAGUGUCCUAAAGGGUUGUCGUAGACUACGACGUUGAUAGGCAGGGUGUGUAAGUGCUGCGAGGCAUUGAGCUAACCUGUACUAAUUGCCCGUGAGGCUUAACCAUACAACACCCAAGGGGUUU
rnacentral:rRNA from 1 species